GUAAUGUAGGCAAUUGGGGAUCUCACCGUUGAUCGUUCCAAGCAGCUUCACUGAAGAAAAUCGAUCUCCGCUUUGCUUAGAGACGAAUAAAAGGUCAUCGGGUUGACCUAAUCAAGCAUGACAACCAACCCCUAAAGAAAAUGUGUGCUCACUAUGCAAAUGAGUGGCAGCCUCCGCCUUCUCCUCUCAUCACAUCAAACAAAUGCAAUGGUGAGGUGAUUUUCCAAGACCGCAACGGUUAGUCAAGUGAAUGUGGCUAAGGCAGAAGAGGCUUCUGACGUGAUAAUGGGUACUCUUUCAGUUAAUUUUAUUCCGGUGAAAGUUUUAUUUGAUUCAGGAGUUUCGCAUUCGUUCAUUUCAAGGCCAUCUACCGCAAAGCAUGAAUUGUUUACAAAGUUGAUGCCUAAGCCUUUAUCAAUUGUUUCUAACGGACAUGCAAAUGAGUUCUCCCUUGAGGGUUCCAAAUGUUGAAAUUGCGGUUGUGGAUUA